ACAACGGAUCUCUUGGUUCUGGCAUCGAUGAAGAACGCAGCGAAAUGCGAUAAGUAGUGUGAAUUGCAGAAUUCAGUGAAUCAUUGAAUCUUUGAACGCACAUUGCGCCCUUUGGUAUUCCAAAGGGCAUGCCUGUUCGAGCGUCAUUUGUACCCUCAAGCUUUGCUUGGUGUUGGGCGUCUUGUCUCUAGCUUUGCUGGAGACUCGCCUUAAAGUAAUCGGCAGCCGGCCUACUGGUUUCGGAGCGCAGCACAAGUCGCACUCUCUAUCAGCAAAGGUCUAGCAUCCAUUAAGCCUUUUUUUUCAACUUUUGACCUCGGAUCAGGUAGGGAUACCCGCUGAACUUAAGCAUAUCAAUAAGCGGAGGAA
rnacentral:rRNA from 1 species